rnacentral:rRNA from 1 species
UUAAGCGACUAAGCGUACACGGUGGAUGCCCUGGCAGUCAGAGGCGAUGAAGGACGUGCUAAUCUGCGAUAAGCGUCGGUAAGGUGAUAUGAACCGUUAUAACCGGCGAUUUCGAAUGGGAAACCCAGUGUGAUUCGUCACACUAUCAUUAACUGAAUCCAUAGGUUAAUGAGGCGAACCGGGGAACUGAAACAUCUAAGUACCCGAGGAAAAGAAAUCAACCGAGAUUCCCCCAGUAGCGGCGAGCGAACGGGGAGCAGCCCAGAGCCUGAAUCAGUGUGUGUGUUAGUGGAAGCGUCUGGAAAGGCGCGCGAUACAGGGUGACAGCCCCGUACACAAAAAUGCACAUACUGUGAGCUCGAUGAGUAGGGCGGGACACGUGGUAUCCUGUCUGAAUAUGGGGGGACCAUCCUCCAAGGCUAAAUACUCCUGACUGACCGAUAGUGAACCAGUACCGUGAGGGAAAGGCGAAAAGAACCCCGGCGAGGGGAGUGAAAAAGAACCUGAAACCGUGUACGUACAAGCAGUGGGAGCCUCUUUAUGGGGUGACUGCGUACCUUUUGUAUAAUGGGUCAGCGACUUAUAUUCUGUAGCAAGGUUAACCGAAUAGGGGAGCCGAAGGGAAACCGAGUCUUAACUGGGCGUUAAGUUGCAGGGUAUAGACCCGAAACCCGGUGAUCUAGCCAUGGGCAGGUUGAAGGUUGGGUAACACUAACUGGAGGACCGAACCGACUAAUGUUGAAAAAUUAGCGGAUGACUUGUGGCUGGGGGUGAAAGGCCAAUCAAACCGGGAGAUAGCUGGUUCUCCCCGAAAGCUAUUUAGGUAGCGCCUCGUGAAUUCAUCUCCGGGGGUAGAGCACUGUUUCGGCAAGGGGGUCAUCCCGACUUACCAACCCGAUGCAAACUGCGAAUACCGGAGAAUGUUAUCACGGGAGACACACGGCGGGUGCUAACGUCCGUCGUGAAGAGGGAAACAACCCAGACCGCCAGCUAAGGUCCCAAAGUCAUGGUUAAGUGGGAAACGAUGUGGGAAGGCCCAGACAGCCAGGAUGUUGGCUUAGAAGCAGCCAUCAUUUAAAGAAAGCGUAAUAGCUCACUGGUCGAGUCGGCCUGCGCGGAAGAUGUAACGGGGCUAAACCAUGCACCGAAGCUGCGGCAGCGACACUAUGUGUUGUUGGGUAGGGGAGCGUUCUGUAAGCCUGUGAAGGUGUACUGUGAGGUAUGCUGGAGGUAUCAGAAGUGCGAAUGCUGACAUAAGUAACGAUAAAGCGGGUGAAAAGCCCGCUCGCCGGAAGACCAAGGGUUCCUGUCCAACGUUAAUCGGGGCAGGGUGAGUCGACCCCUAAGGCGAGGCCGAAAGGCGUAGUCGAUGGGAAACAGGUUAAUAUUCCUGUACUUGGUGUUACUGCGAAGGGGGGACGGAGAAGGCUAUGUUGGCCGGGCGACGGUUGUCCCGGUUUAAGCGUGUAGGCUGGUUUUCCAGGCAAAUCCGGAAAAUCAAGGCUGAGGCGUGAUGACGAGGCACUACGGUGCUGAAGCAACAAAUGCCCUGCUUCCAGGAAAAGCCUCUAAGCAUCAGGUAACAUCAAAUCGUACCCCAAACCGACACAGGUGGUCAGGUAGAGAAUACCAAGGCGCUUGAGAGAACUCGGGUGAAGGAACUAGGCAAAAUGGUGCCGUAACUUCGGGAGAAGGCACGCUGAUAUGUAGGUGAAGUCCCUCGCGGAUGGAGCUGAAAUCAGUCGAAGAUACCAGCUGGCUGCAACUGUUUAUUAAAAACACAGCACUGUGCAAACACGAAAGUGGACGUAUACGGUGUGACGCCUGCCCGGUGCCGGAAGGUUAAUUGAUGGGGUUAGCGGUAACGCGAAGCUCUUGAUCGAAGCCCCGGUAAACGGCGGCCGUAACUAUAACGGUCCUAAGGUAGCGAAAUUCCUUGUCGGGUAAGUUCCGACCUGCACGAAUGGCGUAAUGAUGGCCAGGCUGUCUCCACCCGAGACUCAGUGAAAUUGAACUCGCUGUGAAGAUGCAGUGUACCCGCGGCAAGACGGAAAGACCCCGUGAACCUUUACUAUAGCUUGACACUGAACAUUGAGCCUUGAUGUGUAGGAUAGGUGGGAGGCUUUGAAGUGUGGACGCCAGUCUGCAUGGAGCCGACCUUGAAAUACCACCCUUUAAUGUUUGAUGUUCUAACGUUGACCCGUGAUCCGGGUUGCGGACAGUGUCUGGUGGGUAGUUUGACUGGGCGGUCUCCUCUAAAGAGUAACGGAGGAGCACGAAGGUUGGCUAAUCGGUCGGACAUCAGGAGGUUAGUGCAAUGGCAUAAGCCAGCUUGACUGCGAGCGUGACGGCGCGAGCAGGUGCGAAAGCAGGUCAUAGUGAUCCGGUGGUUCUGAAUGGAAGGGCCAUCGCUCAACGGAUAAAAGGUACUCCGGGGAUAACAGGCUGAUACCGCCCAAGAGUUCAUAUCGACGGCGGUGUUUGGCACCUCGAUGUCGGCUCAUCACAUCCUGGGGCUGAAGUAGGUCCCAAGGGUAUGGCUGUUCGCCAUUUAAAGUGGUACGCGAGCUGGGUUUAGAACGUCGUGAGACAGUUCGGUCCCUAUCUGCCGUGGGCGCUGGAGAACUGAGGGGGGCUGCUCCUAGUACGAGAGGACCGGAGUGGACGCAUCACUGGUGUUCGGGUUGUCAUGCCAAUGGCACUGCCCGGUAGCUAAAUGCGGAAGAGAUAAGUGCUGAAAGCAUCUAAGCACGAAACUUGCCCCGAGAUGAGUUCUCCCUGACUCCUUGAGAGUCCUGAAGGAACGUUGAAGACGACGACGUUGAUAGGCCGGGUGUGUAAGCGCAGCGAUGCGUUGAGCUAACCGGUACUAAUGAACCGUGAGGCUUAACCU